UACGAAGGGGGCUAGCGUUGUUCGGAAUUACUGGGCGUAAAGGGCGCGUAGGCGGUGUGUCAAGUCAGGCGUGAAAGCCCCGGGCUCAACCUGGGGACCGCGCUUGAGACUGGCACGCUCGAGUUCGGGAGAGGAUGGUGGAAUUCCCAGUGUAGAGGUGAAAUUCGUAGAUAUUGGGAAGAACACCGAUGGCGAAGGCAGCCAUCUGGACCGACACUGACGCUGAGGCGCGAAAGCGUGGGGAGCAAACAGG
rnacentral:rRNA from 1 species